GGCUUUCUCAACUUCCUCCUCUUUUUGCUUGUGGCAAACUACUUUGUUUAUAAUGUCGACAUGGACUCCAAAAGGGAUCUGCAGAGAGCAAUGGAAACUUCCUCUAGCAAAAGUCCUGUUCAGAUUUUAUAAUGAAGACUCGUAGGCUGGGUAUUCGAUGUCCUAUGGACCUUAUUGUAUCAUCUCUUGCUAUAAAAAAUGUCUUUUGAUUUAGAAACAUAAAUUUCAUUUCGGUAACAAUGGUUUGUCUUUAGCAAUGAGCUCUAACACUCAAACUGUUAUUAAACUUGGCCUGGCUAAUAUGAAACUUGAUCUAAGAUAGAUUUUAUGGAUACAAUAAAAACAUUCGAUCAAAACUCAACGAUUUUUUUUUAAAAAAAAAUAUUAAACUUUUUUUAAAAAAAUUAAAUUCACUCACCGGUUUCGUAGACUGAAACUUGCACCGAAUCCACUCUCGAAUGAAUUCAUGUUAGUUUAAAAGAUUAGCAACAAAAUAGCAUUUUUCUCCAAAUUUGUACUAGAACCCUAGAAUUGAUAAUUUGGGUUUCUUUUUUCUUUCCCUCCUUCUAAAACUACUAGAACCAUGAAAUAAGGAUUAAGAAACAUCUUACCAACUAAGUUCGAGUUCAAUUGAAGGGUUUCUUGACAAACUCUUCUUCUUCUUCUUUUCCUUUUUUCUCUUUCCCAAUUUCUAGUUACUCUCUCUUAUUCCUUAUUGUCAAAACCAACCCUCUCUCUGUAUAUUCUCAUUUGCUUCUCCUUUGUUGUUUACACAAAAUUUAUCUCAAGCUCUCCAUUUGGAAGGACAUGCAUGCUGUAUUGGAGGAGAAAACAAAUGAGAAGAAGAUGUUCUUCUUUCCUAAGUUAGAU
rnacentral:lncRNA from 1 species